rnacentral:rRNA from 1 species
GAUGAACGCUGGCGGCGUGCCUAAUACAUGCAAGUCGAGCGAACAGACGAGGAGCUUGCUCCUCUGACGUUAGCGGCGGACGGGUGAGUAACACGUGGAUAACCUACCUAUAAGACUGGGAUAACUUCGGGAAACCGGAGCUAAUACCGGAUAAUAUAUUGAACCGCAUGGUUCAAUAGUGAAAGACGGUUUUGCUGUCACUUAUAGAUGGAUCCGCGCCGCAUUAGCUAGUUGGUAAGGUAACGGCUUACCAAGGCAACGAUGCGUAGCCGACCUGAGAGGGUGAUCGGCCACACUGGAACUGAGACACGGUCCAGACUCCUACGGGAGGCAGCAGUAGGGAAUCUGCCGCAAUGGGCGAAAGCCUGACGGGGCAACGCCGCGUGAGUGAUGAAGGUCUUCGGAUCGUAAAACUCUGUUAUUAGGGAAGAACAAAUGUGUAAGUAACUAUGCACGUCUUGACGGGACCUAAUCAGAAAGCCACGGCUAACUACGU